CCUACGGGUGGCUGCAGUGGGGAAUAUUGGGCAAUGGGCGCAAGCCUGACCCAGCAACGCCGCGUGAAGGAAGAAGGCUUUCGGGUUGUAAACUUCUUUUGACAGGGAAGAGUAGAAGACGGUACCUGACGAAUAAGCCACGGCUAACUACGUGCCAGCAGCCGCGGUAAUACGUAGGGGGCAAGCGUUAUCCGGAAUUACUGGGUGUAAAGGGUGCGUAGGCGGUUGUUGAAGGCUGGUGGGAAAGGUUGGGGCCCCACCCCCGAAUUGCUAUUGAUACUGUAUGGCCGGAGUGCAGGAGAGGUAGGCGGAAUUCGUGGAGUAGCGGUGAAAUGCUUAGAUAUUACUAAGAACCCCGAUGGCGAAGGCAGCUUACCAGACUGUGACUGACGUUGAGGCACGAGAGCGUGGGGAGCGAACAGGAUUAGAUACCCGUGUAGUC
rnacentral:rRNA from 1 species